CACGACAGUGACAGCUGAAAAUGAGAGCCCCAUAUGCUAGAGCCAUGCAUUCCACAGGUCAUCCGACGACCUAGGGCUAUAGCUAUACCGAACGUUUGGAUGCAGUCUUGUCACCCAAAAUCCUGAUCAGCGUUGUCCUAAAACGACUUGUAACCCUGGAUUUUGCUUCGUCACUGCACGCGCCGCCACUCCCCCGUGAGACGGCAGGACGCGCGCGGCGAGCAGCGGUGAGGCGCCGAAACAGAAACACUAUCCCCAGGACAGCGACGCGGUCGGUGGCGAUCUGUGCGUGGACGAUCCUGGCCGGGGUUCACAUGACUGGCUGGCGCCUGGCGGGCACGCCUGGCCGCCACUCCAUGGCAUGCUGCCCGCGCCUGGCGUGGAGCCGGGGGAACAGCUAGUCCACCUUGUCUGGCGCCGGAAGGUCGUCGGCGUUGCGGCCGUAGCAGACGCCAAUCUUGCCGCCGUGGCAUUGCCCUGCGAUUGCGCAUGCGCUGUUUUGAUUACCACCAACGCGGACGGAGCAAAUGCAGUGAUUGGGAUUUAAAGUUCUAUUCUUCUUUUUUUUGUAAAUGCAUCGACCAAUCUUUGGUUCUGGGUUAUCGAUGGAAAGAACGAAUAUGUGUAUGGAUAGAUUCGAAUGGGGGGCAGUGAAAUGGAAUAACGGAACAUUCCCCAUAAAAAGAGUACUCCAUGUUUAAGAACACGCAGCAAAUGUUGAAUAAUUAGACAAAUUCCAAAUUAAAUUCCGAAUAUAAA